UUGGAGUUGAGGACGAAGCCUGGCUCCCGUAGGAGUCCGGGCGGAGUCUUCCUGCAAUUAAAGUCAAAGAUGAAGUCCGGCUUUCGUAGGAGUCCGGACGAGGCUUACCAGCGGUUAAUUUUGAGGAUGGAGCCCGGCUCCCGUAGGAGUCCGGGCGGAGCCCGCUUGCGGUUGGCGUUGUCGGCGGAGUCCGGCUCCCGUA
rnacentral:lncRNA from 1 species